rnacentral:rRNA from 1 species
AUGGCCAUCUUUGAUGAAUUCUUUGUGGGAUCUAUUGACCUAGGCCGCCUCAACUUCGGGACCAUCUCCCUCAUCCCCAAGGUCCCUGGAGCGGCUGACAUCCGCCAGUUCCGCCCGAUCACGGUCAUUAACGUGAUCUUCCGGAUCCUGGCCAAGGGGUACGCCAAUAGGGUGACCCUGCUUGCUGAUCGGAUUACCCACCCUAACCAAUCGGCCUUCAUUAAGGGACGGUUCAUCCUGGAUGGUGUCCUGGUGCUUCAUGAGGUUCUUCAUGAGGUCCGGGUCAAGCGCCUGAAGGCGGUUUUUCUGAAGAUCGAUUUCCAUAAAGCCUAUGACACGGUUAGCUGGACCUUCCUUAGGGAAGUCCUU